AAAGGUUGGUUUAAUGCUUCACCAGUCUUCAGCGUAUGCCAGCUGUGUAUAUAUCCCAUUCUGAGAGAGAGAAAGAGAGAGAGGUGAACAGAGAGAGCAGAUAUAUUCUGAAGCCUGUCUGCACAGAGAUAUUUCAUAGACUUCUGUCAGGCUGGCUAUUUCAAAAACACAUAAUUAUCAACAAAAGCACAAAAGCUUGAGAAGACAUUGGUUUAAUUAGGAGGAAUGUAUUGCCAAACUCCAAGCACACACAGCUUAAGAGAGAGAAAGAGAGCUGUUAGAAGUUAAUCAACAUUAGCCUUAAUGAUAAGGCCUCAGAGAAAAUGUACAGACACACAGCGCCGCACAAAACUACAUUGUUUGUCUUGGGUUUCCAAGAAAUUAUCCUUAUUUCGCCUUAGAAAUAGAAAAAGAAGAAGAAAAACACAUCAUCGACUGUCUGUUUCUCCGUUCUCUCCCACUGCUUGUCAGAAGAAAGGACAAAAAGGAGGGGAGCGCGAGACGGCGAAUCGGUCAGCGGACACGCGCUUCCCGCGCUUCCAGCAGCUCGCGCUGUGCAGAUAACGCGGGAAUGUCAACGGUUUGACAGGCUUCCGACGCUUUACUCCCUUUCAUCUCCGCCGUUGACAGCGCGGUUUAAAGCUCUUUUGUACUUAUAUCUAAAUUUGUGUUUUUGGAAUGAGAAACCACUGAGCGGAAACGCAUGUUUUCAUGGGCUCGUGAGGGAGGGAGCGGAUGAAAAGCUGUUUUACUGCACAAGCCUCCCUGUGAUCUGAGGUCAGUGUAACCUUAUUUAGACUUAUUGCCUCAACAAAAGCAGUAGGAUUGUAUAUCUGGGAGAAAAUUGCACCUUUGUGUGUUUGCGGAUUGUCUGUUUAUGGAAGGUCAUUAGCCAUCAGUGACUUUUCACAGCCCAGGCGUCUUUAUCUCUCCGGAUGGACUUGCACUCCAAGGUGCUUUUUCCUAGCAAAGGAAUUUUGCAUGAUGCCUUUGAAAAACAGCAGUAACAUCAGCCGUCGUAUCAGCACGAUCAGAAGAGAAUAAAUGGUGCUGUCAGUGUCCACGCAGAGGAAACCGCAAGGUGUUUUUCCUGCCAGUGCUGUUUAAACAACAUUUAUGCUGUCAUGAGACCCAGUAGAUGAAGAGAGAAGGGCAAGUAUUGUCAUUUACAUUUACAUUUAUUCAUUUUGCAGAUGAUUUCA